rnacentral:rRNA from 1 species
CACGGGGAGUGGCGCACUGCUCAGUAACACGUAGCUAACCUAACCUCAAGACGGAAAUAACCCCGGGAAACUGGGGUCAAUGUCCGAUAGAUGUGAAUUCCUGGAAUGGUGUCACAUCCAAACGUCAACACACCAUGUUGUGCGAACGCUUGAGGAUGGGGCUGCGGCCGAUCAGGCUGUUGGUGGGGUAAUGGCCCACCAAACCUUUGACCGGUAUGGGCCAUGAGAGUGGUAGCCCAGAGAUGGACACUGAGACAAGGGUCCAGGCCCUACGGGGCGCAGCCGGUACGAAACCUCCACAAUGCACGCAAGUGCGAUGGGGUUAUCUCGAGUGCUAUCUGAAAAAGGUAGCUUUUCCAUGGUCUAAAUAGCCGUGGGAAUAAGGGGGGGGCAAGACUGGUGUCAGCCGCCGCGGUAACACCAGCCCCCCGAGUGGUAGGGAUGUUUAUUUGGCCUAAAGCGUCCGUAGCCGGCUAAGUAAAUUUCUCGUUAAAUCCAACGUCCUAAGCGUUGAGCUGCGAGAAAGACUGCUUAGCUAGAGGGUGGGAGAGGUCAGCGGUAUUCCUGGGGUAGGGGCGAAAUCCAUUGAACCCAGGAGGACCACCAGUGGCGAAGGCUGCUGACUAGAACACGCCUGACGGUGAGGGGCGAAAGCUGGGGUAGCGAAUCGGAUUAGAUACCCGAGUAGUCCCAGCCGUAAACGAUGCAGACUAGGUGUUGGGUUGGCCACGCGCCGACUCAGUGCCACAGGGAAGCCAUUAAGUCUGCCGCCUGGGAAGUACGGCCGCAAGGCUGAAACUUAAAGGAAUUGGCGGGGGAGCACCACCAGGCGUGAAGCCUGCGGUUUAAUUGGAGUCAACGCCGGGAACCUUACCGGGAGCGACAGCAGAGUGAAGGCCAGGCUAAAGGUCUUGCCAGACGAGCUGAGAGGAGGUGCAUGGCCGUCGCCAGUUCGUGCCGUGAGGUGUCCUCUUAAGUGAGGUAACGAACGAGACCCGCGCCGCAUGUUGCUAACAAGUCCUAGAGGGAUGUUGAGCACUCUUGCGGGACCGCAGCCGACAAGGCUGAGGAAGGUGCGGGCAACGGCAGGUCAGUAUGCCCCGAAUCUCCCGGGCCACACGCGGGCUGCAAUGGUAGAGACAGAGGGCUGCAACCCCGAAAGGGGAAGCCAAUCCCUAAACUCUACCUCAGUUGGGAUUGAGGGCUGCAACCC